ACUACGGGAGGCAGCAGUGGGGGAUAUUGCACAAUGGGGGAAACCCUGAUGCAGCGACGCCGCGUGAGUGAAGAAGUAUUUCGGUAUGUAAAGCUCUAUCAGCAGGGAAGAAAAUGACAGUACCUGACCAAGAAGCCACGGCUAACUACGUGCCAGCAGCCGCGGUAAGACGUAGGGGGCAAUCGUUAUACGGAUUUACUGGGAGUAAAGGUGGCGUAGACGGUUAUGUAAGUCUGGAGUGAAAGCCCGGGGCCCAACCCCGGGACUGCUUUGGAAACUGUGUAACUGGAGUACGGGAGGGGCAGGCGGAAUUCCUGGUGUAGCGGUGAAAUGCGGAGAUAUCAGGAGGAACACCGGCGGCGAAGGCGGCCUGCUGGACUGAAACUGACGUUGAGGCUCGAAAGCGUGGGGAGCAAACAGGAUUAGAUACCCCGGUAGUC
rnacentral:rRNA from 1 species